rnacentral:lncRNA from 1 species
GCAGAACCUCCAGCACGGUAGCAGGAAUUCUGCAGGGCUCUCAAACUCAGUCUCGUUUCCUGGACGUCUACGAGGGUUCACUCUUUCCGAUUUUCUCGUGCUCUUGUUUUCCUUCUCGUCAGAGAGACACACAUAGGCACGGUACGUAUCCGGGAGACGAACCGCCGAAAGGGCGUCUUCGCCGCCGUCGCUCCUCGGAUGCGUCACUGGCGCAUCAUGGAGGCUGGGAGAUCAUGCUGCAACAAAUGCGGAAUGUGCAAAGCAGCUCGGAAAGUCUGGCGACCGUCGCUGGCUCGGCUUGGCGGUAGCACGCAACCAUCCGCGUGCUAGAGAAAGCGGUGCUUUCAUUUGUUACAAAGCAGGUCUGAAGAGGUUUCCGGGCACGUCGUUUCUGCUCGCGUGUGGUGGUGCGGUCUAUUGAUACCACGAGGUAGCCUCGAGAAUUGCGCUGUGACCUCAUUCGGACCUGUUUGUCGAUACUCACAUCUCGAUACCUCACAGUAACCUGGGUCCUUGCUUAGCGCUUAGGCCCUGUGAUUUGCAGAAUUCCGUGGUGGAAAGGAUCGGACGAAUGCAUUCUGCUGUUCCGAAUGUGGCCUGUGUGUGGGUUGAAGCCUGACACUUAACUUCUUCCCCCAUCGACCGUUUCUCGAAUAACGGCUGAAGUGCCUAUAUGGACCCGCUGGAAUCUGCUACUCGAAAUCCCACCGACACGCAGGAUGGCAGCAAGUGCACAGAUCGACAAGCUGAGUAGCCAAGGGGCACUGGCGAACACGGGCUGGGCUAUGCCCCCUGCAUCCUGAGUGCGCGAAACUACUUUGGUGGAGCUGUGAUGGGUGCGUGUAGCCAGGACAACCAUACGCAGCACCUCAAAGCCAUUUCAACUGUCCCUUUACACCAAACAAUGUCAGUCCUGGGCCUGCUUCAGGAUGCCCGCCAGGAUGCCAACAGUGAGGUGAACGCUGCACCAGUCGGCAUUCCUCUUUGAACCUUGGCAAUGAGUCUUCCGAAAGGGUCCAUUUACAGCCCAUGAAAGACGUGUACAAACUCCUUUUCAUCCGCACAGCAUGGAUACGUGAACCUCGGUUGCAGCAUAAGGGGUAGGGGUUUUCUUCCUUUCGAAUUCCGCAUCUUUUAAUCUCCUUAGAGGAACCCCAGAUGACGGGUGGUGCUUAUGGAAGGAGGCUCCUUUUUUCCCGUUCUUUUCUGGUUCAGAGUAUGUGCAUUCAUUUGUCUCUUGGCAAUGCUUGUGCCGUGUCUCCCUACAUGGCAAGGUAAAAAAGCAUAAAUUGGCCCGGUGUUACGGCAAGGCCUGCUCUCUCUAUCUCUCGCAAACAGGUACCAUGUGCACAAACUGCGAGACUGACAAUAAGGCCCGAGUUCUUGUUUUGCGGCCCAGCCCCAGAGAGUCAGCAUCAGUAGACCCUCUGAGGAGGCGUGCCGACAGUCGGAACGAGGCGAUCGAUCUCCAUGCCAGGUUACAAAGUCGGAAUCCGGUGUUUGUGUUAUGUUCAAUAAAAGGGAUUACCUUCUCGUGAUUGCGUGGGCGCGCAACGGAAAGUGCAAAAGUUUUCGCGAGUGUGUGUUCACCUCACCUAGUCGUGUUUUGCGCAAUUUGAGGAACAGGUAUUCUCCUGGUGCCACUUCCUACCACAGUCACCGAUGACACUGCCACGACCUUUUGUUUUUUGUCACAGUGCCUGGUAGGGGACGUGAAAACGAAGGCAAUAGCGAAAUUGAUGUUGACAUCAAGGCAGGGCUUCUGGACUAGCGCGAAUCCAGGGCAUUAUUGGAACCAGCUGGAGAGAGUGGUGACUCAGGGGGACAUACCAGCUUGACGGCCAGGUUACCGGGAGUCAACGACACCUCGAUCCUGUCACUGGCGCACGUGUGGGUUGGCACCUCAACAGCCGUAGACUGUGCAGUGCGGUUGACAAACUGAAUGAGCCCAGCAAGUAACAGAACGCGACCUAGAGGGCGGAACACGCCGCCCGCGUGGACAAGAUAUCUCGCCAUUGAAUACGAAGCUCAGUGAUGUCUUGAAUCCUGAUUGGUCACCUGUCGCAAGACAGCUCCCAACGUCCGACUGACAAUAAUGCGGACGUAUUUAAGUGGCCAGCCCGUUCCUGUCGCUAGAUGUGAAUACCAAAACAAACAAAAAGUGACCGUGACAACUAACCCUCUGCUUCUAUCCAAAAGCGAAUGCAUGUCUUGGCAGCGCCCGCGGUCAGCGGACGGCCGGAGAGUCUGCAUGUAUACGACCUACGUGCUUAUAACAUCGUUCUACCCACUCUGGUGCGCGCUGGAUCUUGAGCUCCCCUAUCCGCCAACAGUCGCCCUUGUGUGGCUCGAAUCGUUCGCUGUCCCUCCCGAAUGUUUGGAUCGGCUCUCCUGCGACAUGGGAAUGAGUCAAAAAAGACAUAAACCUGUAAUCAAGGAGAAUCGGCCAAGCAGGCUCCUUCAUCACCCGUGCGGAGGAUGGUGGUGGUGUCUCCUCCCUUCUCGGGCAACCGCCCCCCUGCUUCUGACUGCUGUCUUGCGAAGACACAUCUGCCUCGUGGCUCAUCUCAUCGAUAUCGAGAAAACAUGUUUUGGCUUUCAACCCCCCUGUUGAGUUUAAGAGCUACAAAUAUAUCUACGGAA